GACGAACGCUGGCGGUGUGCUUAACACAUGCAAGUCGAACGGAAAGGCCUCUUUCGGGGGGUACUCGAGUGGCGAACGGGUGAGUAACACGUGAGUAACCUGCCCUUGACUUUGGGAUAACUUCAGGAAACUGGGGCUAAUACCGGAUAGGAGCUCCUGCUGCAUGGUGGGGGUUGGAAAGUUUCGGCGGUUGGGGAUGGACUCGCGGCUUAUCAGCUUGUUGGUGGGGUAGUGGCUUACCAAGGCUUUGACGGGUAGCCGGCCUGAGAGGGUGACCGGCAACUUUGGGACAGAGAGACGCCCGAGCCUCCAGGGGGGGGAAGAGGGGGGGAUUCUGGAAAAAGGGGUGGAGGCCUGGUGCGGCAACGCCGGGGGCGGGAUGCGGCUUUUGGGGUGGAAAGCCUCUUACGCCCAUGACGAGGCUUGGGGUGAGGGUAGGGGGUAAAGAAGCACCGGCUAACUACGGC
rnacentral:rRNA from 1 species